UACGAAGGGGGCUAGCGUUGUUCGGAAUUACUGGGCGUAAAGGGCGCGUAGGCGGCGUGGUAAGUCACUUGUGAAAUCUCUGAGCUUAACUCAGAACGGUCAAGUGAUACUGCUGUGCUAGAGUGCAGAAGGGGCAAUCGGAAUUCUUGGUGUAGCGGUGAAAUGCGUAGAUAUCAAGAGGAACACCUGAGGUGAAGACGGGUUGCUGGGCUGACACUGACGCUGAAGCGCGAAAGCCAGGGGAGCAAACGGG
rnacentral:rRNA from 1 species